CCUAACAACAAUAACAACUUCAAUACUCGUCGCCCUAACAACAAUAACAACUUCAAUACUCGUCGCCCUAACAACAAUAACAACUUCAAUACUCGUCGUCCUAACAACAAUAACAACAACAAUCAACGUAAUGGCCGACGUAAUGUGUUCCAAGGGUCACCCCAGAUUAGCGUCCCGCUCACGCUACCUCGGGGACAAGCCGGCGACUGCCAGCGAUUGGAGAAUGUAAUUAACAAUGACUUCCGGUCACGUGUCCGGGGAGCAGCUGGAAGAGACGUUCCCAACAUUCCAACACUGAGACUGGAAUGUACAUUCCAGAACCGGAAUCAGAACCAGAAUCAGAACUGGAAUCAGAACUGGUCUCAAGUCCGAGGCUAAGGCUGAUCAACAGACGAACCCCAUCAAACUAAGCCUGCUUUGAUAAGAUGACCCCCACGUGAAGUCACAAGGACACAUACUCCCACAUCUGCAUUUUCGUCCCGCGCUACAUCUCAAGGUUGAAUUUAUUUUUUGUUUCAGAAUGUCGAAUGUUUACAUUUCGUUUGAGUAUUCAUAAUAAAUAUAUCUUUCAUAUCAAAA